rnacentral:tRNA from 1 species
UCUAAUAUGGCAGAUUAGUGCCAUGAAUUUAAGCUUCAUAAAUAAAGUCUUUACUUUUAUUAGAA